AAUUUUUCCAUAGAAAUGGAAGCUCCAUAUGAUGGCAGUGAAGUUACUGUAGUAAUGGAGGAAAUAGAAAGCACAUACACCUUUGCUUCUCCGGUGCCAUCUAAAAAGAAGAAGAAAUAUAGAAGUCCUGGAGAUCAAGGGGAAAAGACUAAGAAGCCCAGAUCUGCAUACCUUCUAUAUUAUUAUGACAUAUACCUGAAAGUUCAGCAGGAGCUCCCACAUCUUCCCCAGUCUGAAAUUAACAAGAAGAUCAGUGAGAGUUGGAAGCUGCUCAGUGUGGCUGAGAAGAGUUAUUAUUUGGAGAAGGCCAAAUUAGAAAAAGAAGGUCUAGACCCGAACUCAAAGUUGUCUUCCCUGACUGCUGUGGUUCCAGACAUUCCAGGUUUCCGUAAAAUCCUCCCGCGUUCAGAUUACAUAAUUAUCCCCAAAGGCUCUCUCCAGGAGGAGAGAAGCAAGCAGCACUUGGAACUCUGCGUCACCCAGGGCCAAACAGCAUCAGAAGGACUGACAGCUUCUACCAAUGUCACAGGUGUUUCCCACAGCACUGUGCAGAACAUCCUCUCUGUAGAUUCCAGCCACAUUGGCAUUGCUGAGCAGUGCAUUGCCAUUGAAGGGGUUUCAGAAGACCCAGCCUCAUUUGUUCAGUCAGACACAAUAGAAGAAGUUGUUGCAUCGGAGAUCUUGUCUCAUUAUGUCAGACCUGAUGCACACAAAGGGGCUGGAGAUGUUCUCCUGGAUGAAGCCUCUUUGGAAGUAAGCGAUGGCUAUCCCUAUCAAGCAGCUAGCGUGGUUAUUGAAGAGACCCUGGUAAACAGUUCGGAUGCCUCCAAUGGGGGCAUUGCUGUGGCCCAACCACAGCCUUCAGAGGGUCUCUCUGUUGUAGCUGUGGUGACCCGAAGAGACAGAGAAGAAAGUAAUUCAUCAACGCCUACUGCACAGUUCAUUAUGCUACCUCUGUCAGCCCAUUCUGCUUUGGAAAAUCCAACAUCAAUCAAACUGACAACUACCUACACCCGCAGAGGGCAUGGGAAUUGCACCAACCCUGGUUGUACAUUCACAUACGUGACCAGACACAAGCCACCCAAAUGUCCAAUGUGUGGGAACUUUCUGGGAGGCAAAUGGAUCCCAAAGGAGAAACAGCCUAAAGGCAAAACUGAGCCAACUUCCAGUGUGCCUUUAAAAACAUUGGGGCCCAAAAAAAGUCAGCAGCCAUUAGCCUUGGGACAGGCUGUGGUUCACGACAGUGCCUCCAAAUCUAUGCUGGAGAGCUCCGAAGCAGUUACUCAGCUUCUGAAUGCUGCCCCUUCUGGGCAGCAGGUGCAGGAAACGGAAUGGGAAGAAGUGAUCAUCUCGGAGGCUCACAUCCUUGCAAACAACAUGCAGCCAGAGGAGCAAGGAAACGCCACGGCUGUUAUUCAACUUCAAGAGGGCAUUGUACAGGCGGAGCCUUUAUUAGAACAGAAGGACAGGGAGAAUGAAGGGCUGGAGGCACAGGCAUUGGUGGAGGUAGCGCGUGCUGCCAGCUCCCUUUCAAAUCCAGCUUCUGCCACGAAACAUCCAACAGGAGCUGAUGCUCUUGGCACUGCACCCAAAGGGCAGGAGCAGAAGAGCAAAGCCAAGCCCAAGCCUUCCUUGCUGGCCGCAGCAAGACCUACGAGGGCAAUUUUGCCUGCCCCUGUCAGUGUGGCAAGAGAAGCCAACACAGAGCAGCCUGCUUGCAGGCAGCCAUUUACAAACAAUGAAAAAAACUCCUGUGUAAGAAUCUCAGGACUGAAGCCUAGCACUCUGAAGCAGCUGGGCCAGUCUCCCUUGCAACCACCCAGUGUUGAAGAGCACAAGCUCCGUGGCAGCACAGACAGCUCAGCAUCUCACGUCAAAGUGGUGGAGGUCAAACCAGAUGUAUUCCCUUCCUAUAAGUACAGCUGCACUGUAACCUUGGACUUGGGGUUGGCCACUUCACGUGGCAGAGGGAAAUGUAAGAAUCCUUCUUGCAGUUACGUAUACACUAAUCGGCAUAAACCAAGGAUCUGUCCCAGCUGUGGCUACAAUCUUACCAAAGACAGGGCUGAGAAAACAGCAAAAUCCCUGGAGGUCACCUCUAGCCCUGCAGAUGUGCUGAACACCAGUGAGCCUCUAAUUCAGUCCCAAAAAGAAGUCCAGCGUCAGUCCACCUUACAGCUUCUUCGCAAAGUAAUACAGAUACCGGAGAACGAAUCGGAGCUGGCUGAUGUUUUUGCACUGAUUCAUGAACUCAAUAGUUCGCAGCUCAUCCUGUCCAAUAUGAAUGAGGAGACGGUCACCAUCGAGCAGACCUCUUGGUCGAACUAUUACGAGUUUCCAUCAUCCCAGUGCCUUCUCUGUAGCAGCCCUUUGUUCAAAGGAGGACCAAAUUCUCUUGCGGGUCCUCAAGAGUGCUGGUUGUUGACAGCUAAUCGGCUGCAGGUGGUCACUGCUCAGCUCAAGGUGUGCGUGAAUGUGCAGUGCUUGGCUCUCCACAGCUUCAAUGAUAUAUACACCGGCUUGUUUAAUGUGGGCAACAAGCUUUUGGUGAGCCUGGACCUUCUGUUUACAAUAAGAAAUCAUAUUAAACUCGGAGAGGAUCCUAAAGUGGCAGUCAGCAGCAUCUUGGAAUCGGUGCAGGAGCAGACUGAGAGAAACCUGAGCACAGAGGAGCUCACUCAGCUCGAAGAACUGCUAUGUAAUGGCUAUUGGGCCUUUGAGUGCCUCACUGUCCGAGACUACAAUGAUAUGAUCUGUGGAGUCUGUGGCAUCGCACCCAAAGUUGAAAUAGCCCAGAGGAAUGUGGAAAAUGUUUUGCUGCUGAAAAAUAUUGAGUUUACUUGGCCAGAAUUCUUGGCGUCUAGUGAAGUAAACGUGGAAGACUUUUGGUCCACCAUGGAGACGGAAGUGAUAGAGCAGGUGGCAUUCCCCUCCAGCAUCCCAAUCACAAAGUUUGAUGCCUCUAUCAUCUCCCCCUUCUUCCCACCACUGAUGAGGGGCACCGUGGUUGUCAACACAGAGAGAGAGAAGAACCUUGAAGCACAUAUAAUGCCAGGUAAUGCAAGUGUUCUAGUGAGGCUGAUUCAGGACGAAACCUGUAAAAUGGAGCAGAUUGGUUCAUACAGUGAGGAAGAAUUGCAGAAUUUCUUGACCCAGUGCAGCGUUCCCUGGGAGGCAGAGGACUCAAAGGAGCAGCUGUGUCUUUCUCUUCUGGCUCUAUAUGAUUUUGUACAGAAUGGGACACAGAUCAGUCAGCCCCCAGCACACUUCACUGGAGGGAAAGUCUACAAAGUCUGUCCACACCAGGUUGUGUGUGGCUCAAAAUACAUUGUGAGGGGAGAAAGCCCCCGGGACCAUGUGGACCUCCUGGCCUCUUCACGCCACUGGCCACCAGUCUAUGUGGUAGACUUGGCCUCCUCUGUGGCAUUGUGUGCAGAUAUCUGCUAUCCUGACUUGACUGCUCAGAUGUGGGGGAGGAACCAGGGCUGCUUCUCUGACCCCAUGGAGCCAUUAAAGUUUGUGUCUUGCCCAGAACUUCUUGACAGACACUACAAUGUAGAUAUGACCAGUGCUGAACAUUCCGUUCAGCAUCCUGUCACCAAAUCAGCGUCUCGACGAGUAGUUCACACCGGGACAGAGCAGAGCACUCAGGGGGACGCAACAGCUCAGUACCGUUCCCUCUCCGUUUGCCGGGAACUGGAACCCUACGGUGCUAUCAUUACAGCCAUCAAUGACAGCAAAACCAAUAAUGUCCGUCAGAGGCCUAUAACCUUUGACAACGCAACGCACUAUUAUCUUUAUAAUCGCCUGAUGGAUUUCCUCUCCAGCCGUGAGAUUGUGAACAAGCAGAUUCACGAGAUUGUACAAAGUUGCCAGCCAGGUGAGGUGGUGAUCCGGGAUACUUUGUACCGCCUAGGUGUGGCCCAGAUCAAGACGGAAAUGGAUGAAGAUGAGGAGAUCCAAGGGGAGGAUGGUGUUGCAUAAUAACAUGGUCUGAGGUGGUCAUCUUAGCCAUAGAAAAGAGAGCUAGGCUGCAGAUACUCUGGGCAGCUGUCACUCAGAUACGCCCCAGGCCUGAGCAGCUUUGACAGCUUAUGCUGACCAAAGAGUUGUGUGCUUCCAUUAAAAUCUGGAUUGGGUUUUUGAUCUGCAGACCAGCUAGCUGAAAACAGGCAGGUUUCUCCUCCCCAGGAGCUACUUGAAUCCCUAAGCCCGCUGGGAUAGCGUGCUGAACGGGAGAAGACAAAGGGUUUCCAGUGGCCUGAAAUUUGCAGAAAUGGAUUUGCAGAGGAUCAUCAAACCUGUUUUUCGAAGUGUGUAUGUUGCUGGGUGUCGGGAUCAUAACAGGAGACGACAGGGAGCCGCAAGCUUGUGUGACUUUCCCAAUAUUAUACCCUGAAGUGGGUGACCAUAAUAGAUCAUUGAGCAUUUGGAGCCCCAGCUGCUACUUGGUUCCGUUCUGAAAAGACUUGAACUUAGACUGACUUUCAGCACCAGUCAGUGUUUGAAGGGGUGAGAGCACAUCUGCUCCUCUAACUCAUUCUGGCUCUACCUGAGAAGCUUCUAUGUUUAUUUAGUGGUUGAAAUCCAGAGUGAGCUGAAGUUUUAAUGGCUCCGUGCAUUAAGUGUUUGGAGGGUGAAACUAUUUGGCCUACUGUGGAAUUUGUUGUAUGGCACCCUAAGGCUGUUGAAAGUGACUUGAAAUACUGCUCCAAAGUUCAAGAUCAUAGUUACCCAAGAUGUGGAAGGGAAAGGUUUUGUGAGGUCUGUAUCAUGUUAAGAUUAAUUUCAAACAUCUGUUGAAACAGAGUAUUGAGACAUGUAGAACAUUGCAGAAGCUACAUACUGGUGCUUUAUCAACUUAGUUAUGGGUGGCUAAAGCCUUGGGGUGGGGCAUAGGUUAUCAGGGGGAAAACACAUGAAUUACUAAUAUUACAUUUAUGCCCCACCUUGCCUACAAGCAGCUCAAGGUGGCAUGGAUGGUUCUUUUGCCAUGCCCAUUUUAUUUUCACAACAACUCUUAAGAGGUAGGCUAGGAUGAAUGAGUGGCUGGCUCAAGGUCACCCACAUGAGUUUCAUGGCUGAGAUGAAGUUUUUAAACUGGGUCACCGCAGUCCUGAUCUGAAACUCUAGCUCUGAGGUUCCGACACGGCACCUGUGAGCACUAAGGCAUUCAGAGACCUACCAGAGGAAUUUCUUGAAUCACCUUCAGGGCAGAUUUUCAGUGUUGACAUAGUCCCAAGUUUCUCUUCACUCUCCCCCAUGUUGUCUGCUUCGGCCCGCCUAUCAUUUUGUAGCUGGGAGACUUGAAAAAGAAAGAGCAGCCUUCUUUGUAGUUGAUGUCCAAUAAGAAGAGAGAACAGUUUAAUUGGACACCAGAGAGAAAAGAUAGAUUUCUAACUGGAUGGUAUCAGCAAGGGGACGUUACCUAAAGCUUUAGGUAAUGCUCAAUUAGUGCAGAAUCUCGUAGAAUUGGGCAUUUGUGUGCCUGCUUUGCCUUUAAACAAACCUGUACUUUACAUGGUUCAUAAGUAAGUACAUUAGCUGAGGCAUGGUUGUUUUUUUUUUAGUCUAUCAGAACUAUUCUCAAACUCAUUUUAUUAUUAUUUAUUACACAUUAUUUAAAAAUGCCCUUAUAGAAGAAAUUGUAUUGUCACCUAGGAAAAAAGUAAACAACUAAAGAGUUCUAAUUACUUUGCUUAAUCAAAUUGUUUUAUUUUGAAUGAGAGUUAAAUGUGAACAUACUAAUUUAUGUACUUGGAAGAAUGGUUUCAUUUGGAAACUCAACACAUAGCAGUUUACUAUUUAAAAGCAAUCUUGCAGCAAC